GGUAAGUUGCAAGGCCGUGGCCAAGCAUGAACAACCAACGUUACAAUGGUGAUAAAUACAACUCGUCCGCCAUCCUUCACCGUCACCUGCCCUAUCUGUGUAUCUGCAGGACUUAGCUGCCUCUUCCGGCAACGCCACUGCCGCUGCUGCUUCCCAUGAGGCGCUGUCCCUUGAGAUCUUGGAGGCGCAGGUGGAGUACGACGUGCUGCUGCAUGGCAGAGAGGUGAGGAGUUUGCCUUCAGUCGUCCGGUCUGUGGUAGACGGUGACUGCAAUGCUGCUCGAUAUCAACAUCGGGCUGCUUGCUGUGUUUCCCUGCUUGUGUUCCCAUUGCUAUAGGCACUGGGCUGGGCUCCAAGAAACUUCACUCACCGGCCGCACCUGGAUCAAGAGACCCGGGGCAUCGUGUGGAGUGGCCACACAGUCACCAACAUCCUGUACGGGGAGGGCCAGUGUCUCUGCUUCGAUCCAGUCGAAUGCCAGCCGCUGACCUCGCCCUACUACCAGGUGUGCAACGGAAAGCAGGAAAUGUUACAGCACCGUUAUGUGCACCGCCUGCCUCUGUAGUUGCUUCCCGCUUCUGCACCGUGGUGGCUCACACAUGUGUUCCAUGCCUCUCCCGCUCCGCAGCUGACCUCCAACGGGUUGCACCUGCUCGUGAUGUCUUUGCUCAAGUCUGGCCAUUCGCUGUUAGCACAG
rnacentral:lncRNA from 1 species